UUACACUGCUGGAACAUGCCUUGGCCAUGUCAAAGUGCUUACAGUGCAGGUAGCUUCUUGAGAUCUACUGCACUGCAAGCACUUCUUACAUUACCAUGGUGAUUUAAUCAGAGGCCACU
rnacentral:pre_miRNA from 14 species